rnacentral:misc_RNA from 1 species
GAGGGAGGUGGAAUUCCGCGUGUAGCAGUGAAAUGCGUAGAUAUGCGGAGGAACACCGAUGGCGAAGGCAGCCCCUGGGAUAACACUGACGCUCAUGCACGAAAGCGUGGGGAGCAAACAGGAUUAGAUACCCUGGUAGUCCACGCCCUAAACGAUGUCAACUAGCUUUUCGUUGGGGCCUUCGGGCCUUGGUAGCAGCUAACGCGUGAAGUUGACCGCCUGGGGAGUACGGUCGCAAGAUUAAAACUCAAUAAUUGACGGGGACCCGCACAAGCGGUGGAUGAUGUGGAUUAAUUCGAUGCAACGCGAAAAACCUUACCUACCCUUGACAUGUCUGGAAUCCCGAAGAGAUUUGGGAGUGCUCGCAAGAGAACCGGAACAGGUGCUGCAUGGCUGUCGUCAGCUCAAAAUGUGAGAUGUUGGUUAAGUCCCGCAACGAGCGCAACCCUUGUCAUUAGUUGCUACGAAAGGGCACUCUAAUGAGACUGCCGGUGACAAACCGGAGGAAGGUGGGGAUGACGUCAAGUCCUCAUGGCCCUUAUGGGUAGGGCUUCACACGUCAUACAAUGGUCGGGACAGAGGGUCGCCAACCCGCGAGGGGGAGCCAAUCCCCAGAAACCCGAUCGUAGUCCGGAUCGCAGUCUGCAACUCGACUGAUGCGUGAAGUCGGAAUCGCUAGUAACUGCGGAUCAGCAUGUCGCGUGAAUACGUUCCCGGGUCUUGUACACACCGCCCGUCACACCAUGGGAGUGGUUUUACCAGAAGUAGUUAGGGCCUAACCGUAAGGAGGGCGAUUACCACGGUAGGAUUCAUGACUGGGGUGAAGUCGUAACAAGGUAG